GACGCAGUAGGAUAGGCGAAGCGUGCUGUUGGAGUGCACGUCCAAGCAGUGAGAUUGAGUGUUAGGCAAAUCCGGCACUCUUAAGAUUGAGCUGUGAUGGGGAGAGGAACUUGUUCCUCGAGUCGUUGAUUUCACACUGCCGAGAAAAGCCUCUAGCUAGAAUAACGGUGCCCGUACCGCAAACCGACACAGGUAGUCAAGAUGAGAAUUCUAAGGUGAGCGAGCGAACUCUCGUUAAGGAACUCGGCAAAAUGACCCCGUAACUUCGGGAGAAGGGGUGCUCUUUGAGGUUCACGCUUCGAAGAGCCGCAGUGAAUAGGCCCAAGCGACUGUUUAUCAAAAACACAGGUCUCUGCUAAACCGUAAGGUGACGUAUAGGGGCUGACGCCUGCCCGGUGCUGGAAGGUUAAGAGGAGUGGUUAGCGCAAGCGAAGCUACGAAUCGAAGCCCCAGUAAACGGCGGCCGUAACUAUAACGGUCCUAAGGUAGCGAAAUUCCUUGUCGGGUAAGUUCCGACCCGCACGAAAGGCGUAACGAUUUGGGCACUGUCUCAACGAGAGACUCGGUGAAAUCAUAGUACCGGUGAAGAUGCCGGUUACCCGCGACAGGACGGAAAGACCCCGUGGAGCUUUACUGUAGCCUGAUAUUGAAAUUCGGUACAGUUUGUACAGGAUAGGUAGGAGCCUUAGAAGCGUGAGCGCUAGCUUACGUGGAGGCAUUGGUGGGAUACUACCCUAAUUGUAUUGGAUUUCUAACCCGCAGCACUUAUCGUGCUGGGAGACAGUGUCAGGCGGGCAGUUUGACUGGGGCGGUCGCCUCCUAAAGAGUAACGGAGGCGCUCAAAGGUUCCCUCAGAAUGGUUGGAAAUCAUUCAUAGAGUGUAAAGGCAUAAGGGAGCUUGACUG
rnacentral:rRNA from 1 species